GCGUUAGUGGCGAAAGGGUGAGUAACACGUGGGUAACCUACCCUAAGGUUUGGGAUAACCUGUCGAAAGACGGGCUAAUACCGGAUACGAUCUGACAUUAAAUAGAUGUUGGAUGAAAGAUGGGGAUCCGCAAGGACCUGUCACCUUUGGAUGAGCCCGCGUCCUAUCAGCUAGUUGGUGAGGUAAUGGCUCACCAAGGCGAAGACGGGUAGCUGGUCUGAGAGGAUGGUCAGCCACACUGGGACUGAGACACUGCCCAGACUCCUACGGGAGGCUGCAGUCGAGAAUCUUUCGCAAUGGGGGAAACCCUGACGGAGCGACGCCGCGUGCAGGAUGAAGGCCUUCGGGUUGUAAACUGCUGUCAGCUGGGAAGAAAAUUCUGCCGCUAAUACCGGUAGAUCUUGACGGUACCAGCAGAGGAAGCCACGGCUAACUCUGUGCCAGCAGCCGCGGUAAUACAGAGGUGGCUAGCGUUGUUCGGAUUUAUUGGGCGUAAAGGGUCUGUAGGCGGCUUGGAAAGUCGGAUGUGAAAUCCCACAGCUUAACUGUGGAACUGCAUUCGAAACUUCCGAGCUAGAGUGUGAGAGGGGUAAAGGGAAUUCCCGGUGUAAGGGUGAAAUCUGCAGAGAUCGGGAGGAACACCAGUCGCGAAGGCGCUUUACUGGCUCACUACUGACGCUGAGGGACGAAAGCUAGGGGAGCAAACGGGAUUAGAUACCCUGGUAGUCCACGCCCUAAGCGAUGGGUACUAGGUGCUGGUCCCGCUCGGUACAUACGCGAUAUGUGUCGAGCGGGAUCAGUGCCGAAGUUAACGCAUUAAGUACCCCACCUGGGGGAGUACGAUCGCAAGGUUGAAACUCAAAGGAAUUGACGGGGGCCCGCACAAGCAGUGGAGCAUGUGGUUUAAUUCGAUGCAACGCGAAGAACUUUACCUGGGGUUUGAAAGGCAAGCGACAACCGAUGAAAGUCGGUCUCCCCGCAAGGGGCGC
rnacentral:rRNA from 1 species